ACUUCGUCUUCACUUCAUCAACACACGAACCCUAAACCCUCGUCCUCACUUCAUCACUUCAUCACUUCAUCAACACACGAGCCCUAAACCCUCGUCCUCACUUCUUCACUUCAUCAACACACGAGCCCUAAACUCUACCAUCAUCAGCCCUCGUCCUCACUUAAUCACAACCUAGUAGCCUACUCGUAGAAUGAAGCAAAAGGAAGAAGACAUUGCAAAUCACAGCCUAAUCGUAGAAAGCAGCAGAAGGAAGAAGACAUUGCAACAGAUUUUUUCCAGUGAGCUGCCGAUUUGUUUUUGAAUUUUGAGUGUCAAUCUGGCUAAUUUGGUGGGAAUUGUGUUUCUUCUAUAGAAGUAAGGAGAAAAGCAUAAAAGUAAAAGCCACAAGCAUAAGGAUUCAUCAGUUCAUUGAUAGGGAAAAUGAACUUAGACAAUCAAAACCACCCACUCCACAGCUACCACAAAGACCAGCCAUGGAUCCCUGGACAAAGUCUCGACUCAGUGGUCAUUUGUGUACACAAUCACCUCUGCUAUUAUCAUCAGGAGUAUAUGAUACAUUGCAGAAGAAAUAUCUGAAAACACUCUUAUUCUCUGUGUGUGAAGCAAUAGAUGGGCCCAUAUGAUUGAGGAAUAUGCUUGCCUUCCAUAAUUCUUAUAUACAUGUGCUAAUGUGGGUUCUAUGUCUAUAGCAUCGCUGCCCUCCUUGUCUGGGAAACUCGAACGAAAUAUUUUGCAGUAAUGAUGUCUCAUCAUAUAGUCACUGUCAUACUGAUUUCAUAUUUGAGAUUCCCAUGUGUAUUAACCUAUUAGAUUUUUGGUUUAGAAGUAUUAUUUUUGUUUCAUUUUGUCAUGGACUCUCAUAGAUGGAAAGCAACAUUCAUCCUCUCGUGGUGCUGAAAUUUGUAUAAUUGUAACAGGUCAAAUUCAUUUGA